UCGGCUUAAGUGCCAUAACGAGCGCAACCCUCAUCCUCGUUUGCCAUCAGGUAAUGCUGGGCACUCCGGGGAUACUGCCAUCGUAAGAUGUGAGGAAGGUGGGGAUGACGUCAAAUCAGCACGGCCCUUACGUCCGGGGCUACACACGUGUUACAAUGGGCGGUACAGAGGGCAGCCACCACGCGAGUGGGAGCUAAUCCUCAAAGCCGUUCUCAGUUCGGACUGGAGUCUGCAACCCGACUCCACGAAGCUGGAUUCGCUAGUAAUCGCGCAUCAGCCAUGGCGCGGUGAAUACGUUCCCGGGCCUUGUACACACCGCCCGUCAAGCCAUGAAAGCCGGGAGCACCUGAAGACCGUGACCGCAAGGGUCGGCCUAGGGUGAUACUGGUGAUUGGGGCUAAGUCGUAACAAGGUAGCCGUA
rnacentral:rRNA from 1 species